GACGAACGCUGGCGGCGUGCUUAACACAUGCAAGUCGAACGGGCCUUGUCCCCUUUUUUUUUGGGGGUGGGGUUAGUGGCGAACGGGUGAGUAACACGUGAGUAACCUGCCCCUCACUUCUGGAUAACCGCUUGAAAGGGUGGCUAAUACGGGGUGUUCUGGCCUGCUCGCAUGGGUGGGUUUGGAAAGAUUCGACCGGUUUUGGUUGUUUUGGUGGGGGAUGGGCUCGCGGCCUAUCAGCUUGUUGGUGGGGUGACGGCCUGCCAAGGCUUUGACGGGUAGCCGGCCUGAGAGGGUGGGCGGUCACACUGGGACUGAGACACGGCCCAGACUCCUACGGGAGGCAGCAGUGGGGAAUAUUGCACAAUGGGCGCAAGCCUGAUGCAGCGACGCCGCGUGAGGGAUGGAGGCCUUCGGGUUGUGAACCUCUUUCGCCAGUGAAGAAGGUCCUGCUCUUUGUGGUGGGGUUGACGGUAGCUGGGGUAAUGAAGCGCCGGCUAACUACGUG
rnacentral:rRNA from 1 species